rnacentral:rRNA from 1 species
AUGCUGAGAUAUGAUCUUGAGGAUCAGCUUUCGGUCAUCUAUACGGACGUGGAGGCAUAUUGGCGGCUGCGCGGCACUCACCGGUGUUUGCUCCGUGCUGAUGCUAACACGGCUUACUUCCAGGCGAUCGCCAAUGGGCGGCAACGGCGGAACUCCAUCCACUCCCUGUGGGACGGCGAUACCCAGCUGGUGCGCCCCUCGGACAUCCGAGCCCACUUAGAUGGCUUUUAUAAAGCCCUAUUCUCCCCCACCCAUCGGGGUGGGGCUGCGCUGGCCCCCGAUACUUGG